CAUGAAAAAGGUGCGUUGAGGUGUGGGCUAAUUUUAAUCACACCCACUGUGGGGCGCCAAAACAGUUCUGCAACAGCAUGUCUUGACCCUUAUGCAAAUAUUGGUAUUUGAGGAAAAGCAGGUGGUCGGAUUAUUUAUUAAAACAAGGCUGACUCAGGCUCCGUCUCUCGUUAUAUCCGCAGGUUUCUAUAGCAUUGAACUCUGUUACGUAAUCGACCUUUGGUCGGGAAUAACAACACAUUUGAACAUUGUAUUUCCAACACACAGGCCGUUGCUCAAUAAAUAUUUCAACGUUCACAAAGUGAGGGUUGGAUAAGGGUCAUGGGAUAAGCAGAGGACAUGACAAUGUGAAAUCCUUAGACCUGAACUAAAGUAACCCGUAUUAUCUAACCAAGACUGGUGUCAAACAUCCACAAAAUGUUCAUAAAAGGGUAAAUGUGGUGGUGGUAGGCUUGAAGGCUGUUAAAAUUGGACCAGGGCAACACAGUAGGCUCAAGGCCUAGUGCAGAUGAUUUCUUCAGAUUAGGGAGACUAUUGAACUUGUACAACACCUUCAUGUUAUGAACUUAAAGGGACACUAUAGGCACCCAGACCACUUCAUCUCACUGGGUGCAGUGUCGCUGUCUCCCUAGCUCUGCAAACUGCAAUGUUUAUAUUGCAAGUUUAAGACAGCCUCUAAUGCCUGUCUACCAGUAGAUUCACUUCCUGCUGUUUUACAGAGUUUAAAUCCAUGAAACGAUGUUGGUCAUCUUCGUGC